rnacentral:tRNA from 2 species
UCCCUGGUGGUCCAGUAGCAAGGAUUCUGCACUCCUAAUGCAGGGGGCCCGAGUUCAAUCCCUGGUCAGGGAA